rnacentral:lncRNA from 1 species
CCGCGCUGCAUAUCACGCCGGGCCGUAUGUCAUACCACACCGGAACGAUGGGACGACCGACUUUGAUUUUUUAAAUCGUUCUCAUAUUUUGCAUGACUGAAGGACUGCUAUCUCAUCCUACGACCACAAUACCACCACCAACUCUCCCUUCGACAACGACAAAGUGUACAACAGGGGAUACCACUGUAAAAAACUGCUAUGAUGUUGAAUGUGUCGACGGGAAAUGGAGGCCGAUUCAAAGAAGUUUAACCUUACAUUGUUGCAAAAUGUAUCCAAUUCCUAGGUGCUACCAAGCAUUCCCAGAACUCGGACCAUCGCCAUAUGGAGACGAUACCUAUGGAUAGUCAACGAAUUUAAGAAAAGGACAAAAAUAUAAUAUAUGUAUAUCCUUAAAACGAACUUAUGAUACAACCUUUUGGAUCAACGAAUUUAAGUACCGAACGUAAUGUGCAAUUUAUUAAAACCACGGAAAUAUAAGCCAAUAAAAAUAAAGCAUUUCACUACUGUUUUUACAUUGUCGAGCAUAAAACAUUAGCCUAUGGAGCGAUUAAACCAGAAAAAACCCCAACGAUGUCUACCUUUAUGCCUUAGAAGAAGAAAGUGACGUUGUAACUUACUACAAGAUAUGGCAUUCAGUUCCAAAUGCAGAAACAACCGUGUCUAUUCGCACCAUCAUUAUGGGAGUUGGAUCCCCUUUCAGUAUUGCAUAACCUAACGAUCAAUCAUUUCUGAUUCCAACGAAAUAAAAUAAAGAAACGGGGCUCUCUUUCAAUGGAACUAUAUUCGUGGCUGAAAUGGCGAUCUGUAUAUCAGCAAGAGAUGACACAUCGACAUCGUUUGUUUUGUUCAGAGACACCAGUAGAACACAUUAAUUUAUUAACAAGCGGUUACUUGAUGUCAAACAUUUGGUUAUGUUUACUCACAAGCCUCCAGAAGACUAUUGCUACAUUUUCCAUUAGCAGCAAGGGAUCCUUUAUAUGCACUUCCUACAGAUAGGACAGUACAAACCACAACCUUUGAUAUACCAGUCGUGGAACAAUGAUUGGCUGACAAGAAAAAAUGCCAAACUUAGAUGUCUUUUAAUCUGGACUACUACAUGAAUUCAAUAAGAAUGGCAAGGGAUAGCAACAAAAUGUUCAAAUAUUCCAAAGUAUGUUGUACAUCUUAUUAUUAUUACUCACCAAAAGACAAAACAGAAAGCCGGUGUUAAAGUUUCUGUUGUAUAUGGAAAAAUGGCCGCCAUAUGAAACGCACACAUAUUUGAACGUGUCAUCAGUUGGUCUUAUGAUCCCCACACCAUAAUGAAUAAGUCUAGCCAUGUGAAUUAAUGUUACCAUGCCGGUAUCUGUAACCCCCCCCCCCCCCCCCCCCCCCCACACACACACACACAUUUAGGUGGCCCUUGUUUGCAGGACUAAUUGAAACUGUACAACACUACAAUAUAAAAUGGUCCAUUAUUUUAUGCAAUCUUGACCUUGGUGCGAGUCAUAACUUGUUCUUGUCAUAUUCAGGACAGGUGCCUGUCCGCCCAUGGACUUCACCUAUUUAAGCUGGUCUAGCCCUAAUGUAUACUAAGACUUCACCAGGCAAACUGUUACCUUUUGUUGGUCAUCGGUGAUCACCUUGUCUAACACUACAAAACUCACACAUAUCCCGCCAUUGUUCUCAGUGCGGUUAAAGGUGCAUUACAAAAACCUUCAAAACAUAAACAAAAUAUAUUUAUAAUUAAUAUUGUGUUUAAUGGUUUAAAAAUAAAUACACGUCAAAUAAUGUUUUUGAAACUUACCAAAUGACGAAUCGAAUCGCUCCAACGACAAAGCCAAGAAAAUAACGAAUUUGGCCUACCCGUGACAUGAACAGAAUGUCUAAGACCACCUUUAAUUGCACUAUGUUUACCCAUAUAGAUGAUAAGAUAAAAAAUAAAAAAACCAAUGUGCUCUAGUGGCGUCGUUAAAUAAAAAAAUUUUUACUUUAAAACAAACUUUGUACCUCUGAGAAGUAAUGGUUUUAUGGAGACGACUUGACUUGAUUUGAGAGUUUUUUCAUGCUCAUAUACCACGAAGGUUUCGAGCAUGUCUAUCCGAGUCCCGUCUCUGGAUACCAGUGGCCUGACUCGGGGCUAUGGAGACGAGCUCUAGUCUACAUUUGGUGGUAUUUACCCCCAUUUC